CAUGUGGUUGGGGUGGUAGUAGUAGACGUGUGGUUGGGGUGGUAGGGGUAGUAGAAGUGUAGUAGUGGUAGUAAUAGACAUGUGGUUGGGGUGGUAGUAGUAGACGUGUGGUUGGAGUGGAGGGGUAGUAGAAGUGGGGUAGUGGUAGUAGUAGAAGUGUGGUUAGGGUAGUAGUAGUAGACUGGUUGGGGUGGUGGUAGUAGAAGUGUAGUAGGGGUCGUGGUAGUAGAAGUGUAGUACCAGUCUAAAAUGGGGAUGUGUAUGGUGCUCAAUUUACCCCAUACAACACUAAUGUUUAUGUCCCCUGAACAGGAAGGGCUGUGGGAUUCAGACUACAGUCUGUGUUAUGACAUCCUGAAGUUUGAAGCAGGUUAAUCAACAGCACCCACCUGGUGGCAGUCAACAGCACCUCCUGGUGGCAGUCAACAGCACCUCCUGGUGGCAGUCAACAGCACCCCCCAGUGGCACAUCUUGGUCACGACAAUCUGCAUGAUACACAACAUCAGUGUGACACCCUGCUGAUACCUGACCAUGAACGAAGACAGGUUCUCAUUCUGAAAUGGAAAAGCUUGAAUGGGUUAAUCUCAAUCAGAUAUUGUUGUACCCAUUCCCCCCUCCCCCCCAAGCAACAAUAUAUGUUAUUACCCCAUGCACCAGUCUGUCCCAUUCUCCACCACUGACGACAUGAGCUUUAUUUAAUACCCCCAGUUGAAAUGAUGAGUGGACCCUGUUAACUUAAUUUUAGUUAUGUGGUCAAAGUGCUUAAUAACCUGAUAGCAUGAAUACUUGAAGUCCCCCAUGCAUUAUGCACAGGACAGGGCCACUCUAUAAUGACGGUCCAUAGAUAGAAGUGCAGUUUUAUAAAUAACUGCGUGCUAAUCUGCUCCCUACAGUCAGUGAGAUCGACCAUGGCAUACUAAAGGACUAAGUAAUGAACAUUAAAAACCGAGAUGGCAGCAAGAUUCUGUUCUCUAAAACAGCAGCACACGAAUAGUGGCUCAACGAAAUGCCCUCAUCCAAGAUGAAAGACAUAUAAUAAGUUAACAUACAAAAUUAAUUGAGCAGUAUUGUCAACUCGCCACGUGAGGCCGACUGAACUCACACAUCUCCAGGUCGAUCGUAUCUGACUCCUGCACUCCCGUCCACCAAUAGCAACGUCCUCACCAGACUGCCUCCUGCAGCACAACACUCCCGUCCACCAAUAGCAACGUCCUCGCCAGACUGCCUCCUGCAGCACAACACUCCCGUCCACCAAUAGCAACGUCCUCGCCAGACUGCCUCCUGCAGCACAACACUCCCUUCCACCAAUA
ensembl:lncRNA